AAUUUUGGACAAUGGGGGUAACUCUGAUCCAGCCAUCCCGCGUGUGCUAUGAAGGCCUUCGGGUUGUAAAGCACUUUUGUCAGGGAAGAAAUCGUACAGGCUAAUGUCUUGUGCGUAUUACGGUACCUGACGAUUACGCACCGGCUAACUAUGUGCCAGCAGCCGCGGUAAUACGUAGGGUGCAAGCGUUAAUCGGACUUACUGGGCGUAAAGGGUGCGCAGGCGGAUUAUCAAGAAAGGUGUGAAAUCCCCGGGCUUAACCUGGGAAUGGCACUUUUAACUGAUAGGCUAGAGUAUGUCAGAGGGAGGUAGAAUUCCACGUGUAGCAGUGAAAUGCGUAGAGAUGUGGAGGAAUACCGAUGGCGAAGGCAGCCCCCUGGGAUAAUACUGACGCUCAUGCACGAAAGCGUGGGGAGCAAACAG
rnacentral:rRNA from 1 species